AUUGAACGCUGGCGGCAUGCCUUACACAUGCAAGUCGAACGGUAACGGGCCUUCGGGUGCCGACGAGUGGCGAACGGGUGAGUAAUGCAUCGGAACGUACCCAUCAGUGGGGGAUAACUCUCCGAAAGGAGGGCUAAUACCGCCUAUUCUGUGCGCAGGAAAGCGGGGGACCGCAAGGCCUCGCGCUGAUGGAGCGGCCGAUGUCAGAUUAGCUAGUUGGUGGGGUAAAGGCCUACCAAGGCGACGAUCUGUAGCGGGUCUGAGAGGAUGACCCGCCACACUGGGACUGAGACACGGCCCAGACUCCUACGGGAGGCAGCAGUGGGGAAUUUUGGACAAUGGGGGCAACCCUGAUCCAGCCAUGCCGCGUGAGUGAAGAAGGCCUUCGGGUUGUAAAGCUCUUUCGGCCGGGAAGAAAUCGCAUCUCCUAAUACGGGGUGUGGAUGACGGUACCGGAAUAAGAAGCACCGGCUAACUACGUGCCAGCCGCCGCAGUAACAC
rnacentral:rRNA from 1 species